AAAGGGGUGAAUCAGACCAGGAUGUUUCCUAGAUAUAUCCCUGACCCAGAUGCGGGUAGGAUUGGGCCAACACAUAGGGCCUUCUAUUUCUCUCAGCAGGGAGUUGCCUCAAAUCACCCUCUGUCCUCCUUGGCAGAGACAGUCUGGAGGUGUAGAGUUGGCCAUCUCACCCUAGACAACCUCAAGUUUGGACCUGCCGCUGCAUCCUCACUCACCUCUCUCAAGUUCCAGAUUCGCGUCAGUCCUGAGUGGCUGCGCCCCUAGCGGCAGGUUUAAUACAUGCAGGGGGUGAUCCCGCCGCUGCUCCUGGCUCCACUCCUGUGACAUCAGAAUGCCGCUGCCACGCGGAGGAUGACGGUGGCCAGCAGGUGUUCCAUGUUAAGGUUAUCCAGCAAUGAGCCGAGGUAAUUCCUUGUUUCAGCAUGGAAUGCAUCCACUCCAGAGCUGAGUACCUCACCAAAAAGAGAAAGUGACUCGGUUAAGGGGUCUUGCCAUUCAAAG
rnacentral:lncRNA from 1 species